CCUACGGGUGGCAGCAGUGAGGAAUAUUGGUCAAUGGACGAGAGUCUGAACCAGCCAAGUAGCGUGAAGGAUGACUGCCCUAUGGGUUGUAAACUUCUUUUAUAUGGGAAUAAAAUGUUCCACGUGUGGGAUUUUGUAUGUACCAUAUGAAUAAGAGACGGCUAACUCCGUGCCAGCAGCCGCGGUCAUACGGAGGAUCCGAGCGUUAUCCGGAUUUAUUGGGUUGAAAGGGAGCGUAGGUGGGUUGGUAAGUCAGUUGUGAAAGGUUGCGGCUUAACCGUACAAUUGCAGUUGAAACUGGCAGUCUUGAGUACAGUAGAGGGGGGCGGAAUUCGUGGUGUAGCGGUGAAAUGCUUAGAUAUCACGAAGAAAUCCGAUUGCGAAGGCAGCCCACUGGACUGCAACUGACACUGAGGCUCGAAAGUGUGGGUAUCAAACAGGAUUAGAUACCCUUGUAGUC
rnacentral:rRNA from 1 species